AGAGUUUGAUCCUGGCUCAGAUUGAACGCUGGCGGCAGGCCUAACACAUGCAAGUCGAGCGGUAACAGAAAGUAGCUUGCUACUUUGCUGACGAGCGGCGGACGGGUGAGUAAUGCUUGGGAACAUGCCUUGAGGUGGGGGACAACAGUUGGAAACGACUGCUAAUACCGCAUAAUGUCUACGGACCAAAGGGGGCUUCGGCUCUCGCCUUUAGAUUGGCCCAAGUGGGAUUAGCUAGUUGGUGAGGUAAUGGCUCACCAAGGCAACGAUCCCUAGCUGGUUUGAGAGGAUGAUCAGCCACACUGGAACUGAGACACGGUCCAGACUCCUACGGGAGGCAGCAGUGGGGAAUAUUGCACAAUGGGCGAAAGCCUGAUGCAGCCAUGCCGCGUGUGUGAAGAAGGCCUUCGGGUUGUAAAGCACUUUCAGUCAGGAGGAAAGGGUGUGAGUUAAUACCUCAUAUCUGUGACGUUACUGACAGAAGAAGCACCGGCUAACUCCGUGCCAGCAGCCGCGGUAAU
rnacentral:rRNA from 1 species